GCCUCUUCCCAUCCAAAUAUGGACAGAAUAAACACAGCAAGCCCACGAAACUCUGCUGCUCUGCUCAGAGCACACAGCAGCUACCCAGUACACUCAUGAAAAAAUUCAGAUAUCUCACCUCUCUAUAGGAAUUUUUAUCUACAGUUCCCAGCCUGCUGCAUAAAGGAGGGAAGAGCAGUGUGUCUGUUUUUCUGAAGAGGAGGUGGGAUGAAUAAAAGGAAUUUCCUUUAAGCUCAAGAUUUAAACUGAGCUAACAGAUUUUGUCAAGCGAUCGGUGCCAUACUUUGGACAAGAAGAUGCUUAAAUGGAAAAGAACAGACAGUUCAGCCCACCAAAUGCUCUGAGUGAGGCAGUGGGGUAGCUUCCUGGAGGAACUUGUUCUUGCUAUAGGCACAUCUACAAAAUUAAACUGCUCAGAAACAGGGAACUGUGGGCUUUGAGUGCUUGUCUUUGGUGCUGAGCAUAUGUAAAAUACUGAGACUGCUGGACAUUGAACUUUUUUGAUUUACCCAAAGGGAAUUUCUGGAGAAGAUGAUGGAAGUGUCUCCCUGACCUCUCCUUGGGCUCCUCAGAUGCCUGGCUCGAGCCAAAGGUGACCUGUCACUGCUUUCAGGCAGGAUCCAUCCUCUGGGCUGCAGAACAGCGUGUGCUCCUCCUGGCCCAGCAGCAGUAAGGCAGCCCUGGGACACUGCAGAAGGUGAGGGCACACAGGAGAUCGGGGAUGGGCGGUGGAGCCCCAGGAAUGCUG
rnacentral:lncRNA from 1 species